rnacentral:rRNA from 1 species
UGGGAGAGAGUAGUACUAGGAUGGGUGACCUCCUCGGAAGUCCUCGUGUCGCAUUCC